rnacentral:rRNA from 1 species
AUUGAACGCUGGCGGCAGGCCUAACACAUGCAAGUCGAACGAGUGGCGGACGGGUGAGUAAUGUCUGGGAAACUGCCCGAUGGAGGGGGAUAACUACUGGAAACGGUAGCUAAUACCGCAUACCAUCGGAUGUGCCCAGAUGGGAUUAGCUAGUAGGUGGGGUAACGGCUCACCUAGGCGACGAUCCCUAGCUGGUCUGAGAGGAUGACCAGCAACAGGGGAACGGGGACACGGUCAAGACUCCUACGGGAGGCAGCAGUGGGGAAUAGUGCAAAAUAGGCGCAAGCCUGAUGGAGCCAGGCGGCGGGUAUGAAGAAGGCCUUCGGGUUGUAAAGGACGUUGAGCGGGGAGGCGUUACCCGCAGAAGAAGCACCGGCUAACUCCGUGCAAGCAGCCGCGGUAAUUC